AUGAGGGUACCUCAGGGACCCACUCCACAGACAGAGAUGGAGUUUGCUGAGAAGAGGGUUCAUGAAGUCCUCUAUAUUGUGACUGGGGAAGGUUCUCUGGACAUCCUGAAACCACAGGAACUUUGGGGGCACAGGAUAACAAUUCAGAUACCAGCCAUGCAUCAGGCAGGUCCUUUGGGAAAUAUUCCAGAAGAAGUCAUUGUUAUCAGAGGAGAGGAAGCUCCACGUGUGGUACUGACUCUUACAGACCUCUCAGGGAGACACGAGGUGGAGGUGGAAGACGGUGAUAUUGAUGACCCCAACCCUGGUGCUGUGGAAUCUAUUGCCAUGAAGAACCCAAAAGAAAGGAAUGCUCUCUUUGAAGACAUCAGUCCCUCUGGGGAGCUAGCCCAGGAAUAUGAUAAGUGAAAGAAGGAAAUGGUGAAGGCUGAAGAGGACACACAGUUUAAUUACCAUCGCAAGAAAAACAUUACAGCUGAACACAAGGAGACCAAACAGGGGAAGGGAGAGGCUGCCUGCUACCAGCGCCUGAAGGAUGAGGUGGUACGAGCUCAGGUACAACUGCAACUCUUUAAGCUUUAACAUAAUGAAGUGGAAAUUGAAAAGCUCAACAAGGAACUGGCCUCUAAGAAUAAGGAGAUUGAGAAGGAUCAGAAGUGAACGGACAAGGUAGAGGAUGAGCUGAAGGAGAAGAAGAAGGAACUGGGCAAAAUGAUGCUGUGGGAAAGAGAUCAAGGAAAGGAUUCAGAGCUGAAUCAGAAGCGGCCUCAAUACAUCAAAGCCAAGGAGAAUACCUCCCAUAAAAUUAAGAAGCUGGAAGCUGCAGAAUGCUCAGAAACACUACCAGAAGAGUAAAGGUGACAUGGAUGAGCAGGAGAAGGAGGUGCUGUGUCCUGUCAGUGGAGAAGGCCCGGCAGGAGUCUGAAGAAUGGAUGGAAGAAGAGUCAGAGUCAGGGCAGAGACUUGGCCUUAGAGGAGAAUCAGGUGAAGAAGAAGCCAGCAAGAAGAGAGCAGCUACCUUAGCCCAGGAGCUGGAGAAAUUCAAUAGACACUGGAAAGCUGAUCAAGACCGUCUGGAUCUAGAAGAGCAGAAGGUAGAGACAGAGGCCAAGAUCAAACAGAAGCUGUGGGAGAUUGAAGAAAAUCAAAAGCAGGUUUAAAAACUAGAGGAAUACAUCACCACUAGCAAGCAGUCCCUAGGGAACAGAAGUUAGAGGGGAGCUGACAGAGGAGGUGGAGAUGGCCAAACGGCGUAUUGAUGAAACCUAUAAGGAACUGAACCCAGGGAUGGAGCAGCUAGGGGAUGCCCACAUCAACUGCCAGGAGAGCAGCCACCAGCAGCGUAAGGCAGAGAUGACGGAAAGCAUCAAGCGUCUCUACCCUGGUUCUGUGUAUGGCCGCCUCACUUACCUCUGCCAGCCCACACAAAAGAAGUCUCAGAUUGCUGUAACCAAGGUUUUGGGCAAGAACAUGGAUGCAAUUAUUGUGGACUCAGAGAAGACAGGCUGGGACUGUAUUCAGUAUAUCAAGGAGCAGCGUGGGGAGCCUUGAGACCUUCUUGCCUCUUGACUACCUGGAGGUGAAACCUACAGAUGAGAAACUCCAGGAGCUGAAGGGGGCCAAGCUUGUGAUUGAUGUGAUUUGCUAUGAACCAACUCACAUCAAAAAGGCCCUGCAGUAUGCAUGUGGCAAUGCCCUUGUCUGGGACAACGUGGAAGAUGCCCGCUGCAUUACCUUUGGAAGCCACCAAUGCCAUAAGACAGUGGCAUUAGAUGGAACCCUGUUCCAGAAGUCAGGAGUGAUCUCUGGUGGGGCCAGUGACCUGAAGUCCAAGGCACAGUGUCGGGAUGAGAAAGCAGUAGAUAUGUUGAAAGAGGAAAAGGAACGCUUGACAGAGGAGCUGAAAGAGUAAAUGAAGGCAAAACAGAAAGAAGCAGAGCUACGUCAAGUGCAGUCUCAAGCCCACGGACUGCAGAUGCAGCUCAAGUACUCACAGAGUGACUUGGAACAGACCAAGACACAACAUCUAGCUCUAAAUCUGCAGGAAAAGUCCAAGCUGGAGAGUGAGUUAGCCAACUUCAGGCCUCACAUUAUUGAUAUCAAAAGGAUUAUCCAGAGCCGAGAGAGGGAAAUGAAAGACUUGAACGAGAAGAUGAACCAAGGAGAAGAUGAAGCGUUUGAAGAGUUUUGUCGGGAGAUCAGUGUGCGCAACAUCCGGGAGUUUGAAGAAGAGAAGGUAAAAUGGAAAAAUUAAAUCAUGAAAAAGCGUUUGGAGCUUGAGAACCAGAAGACUCACUUGGGCAUCCAGUUGGAUUUUGAAAAGAGCCAACUGAAGGAUGGCCAGGAUAAAGUACACAUGUGAGAGCAGACUGUUAAAAAGGAUGAAGAUGAAAUAGAAAAGCUCAAGAAGGAAGAACAAAGACACAUGAAGAUCACAGAUGAGACAACAGCCCAGCUACAGGACCUGAGGAAUCGGCACCUGGCCAAGAAGUCAGAAUGAAUGACCAGAAUCACGCGCUGGAGGAGAUUCAUAAGAAACUAGGGGUGCCAACAAGGAAAUGACCCAUUUACAGAAGGAGGUGACAGCCAUUGAGACCAUGCUUGAACAGAAGCGCAGUGACCGCCACAACUUGCUACAAGCUUGCAAAAUGCAAGACAUCAAGUUGCCACUAUCAAAAGGCACCAUGGAUGAUACUAGUCAGGAAGAGGGUAGCUCCCUAGGGGAGGAUUCAGUGAGUGGUUCCCAGAGAAUCUCCAGUAUCAAUGCACAAGACCUGUGUGAGGAUCUAAAGGAUGCCCAAGCUGAGGAGGUGAUUAAACAAGAAAUGAACACACUGCAGCAGAAGCUGAAUGAACAGCAGAGUGUGCUUCAGCAUAUUGCUGCCCCCAACAUGCAGGCCAUGGAAAAACUGGAAAGUGUCCGAGACAAGUUUCAGGAGACCUCAGAUGAGUUUGAGGCAGCUCAAAAGCAAGCAAAGAAGGCCAAGCAGGCAUUUGAACAGAUGGAGAAGGAGCGCUUUGACCGCUUCAAUGCUUGUUUUGAAUCUGUGGCUACCAACAUUGAUGAGAUCUAUAAGGCCCUGUCCUGCAACAGCAGUGCACAGGCAUUCCUGGGCCACGAGAACCCUGAGGAACCCUACUUAGAUGGCAUCAAUUACAAUUUACAAUUGUGUGGCUCCUGGGAAAUGCUUCCAGCCUAUGGACAAUUUGUCAGGCAGGGAGAAGGCAGUGGCAGCUCUAGCUCUAGUCUUUGCCAUCCAUAGCUACAAGCCAGCCCCCUUCUUUAUCCUGGAUGAGAUCGAUGCUACCUUGGAUAACAGCAACAUUGGCAAGGUGGCAAAUUACAUCAAGGAGCAGUCGACUUGCAACUUCCAGGCCAUUGUCAUCUCUCUCAAGGAGGAGUUCUACACCAAGGCUGAGAGCCUCAUUGGAGUCUAUCCUGAGCAAGGGGAUUGUGUGAUCAGCAAAGUCCUGACCUUCGACCUCACCAAGUACCCAGAUGCCAACCCUAACCCCAAUGAACAGUAGCAAUACUUCCCUCCUGCCCUGUCUGGAUACCUAAACUGCCCCUCUCCCAAUCCCUGGAUAUUUGGCUCCCAACCUUCUCCUACCUCCUGGCCCUUUUUGAUGUAGUCAUGGGAUUUAAGCACCGUUAUCAAGCACAAAGAGGAACAGAGGUGAUGUUAGGUCUGGAGCAAAAAUUCUUGAGCGUCAGCAAGAAUUGGCCUGGCCUCUGGAAGGAAGUGCCAAGGUGAAUGGGGCCAUUGAUCCAUUCCCUACCCUCUUGUGAGCCUCCCUGCUCAUCACCUAUACUCAUAAAUCCCUUGGGCCCCUUGCCCACUUUGUGUGUGGAUAUGUAUGUGUGUAUAUGUGUGUUGGCAUGUGUGCAUGUAGGUCUGUUUGCAAAAUAAUAAAAGACUGGAGAUCUGUUUUAGAAGGAACCUAGGCUGAAUUUGAUUACAAGAGAGUUCAGGAUGACAGCACCCCCAGAGCUAGGCAAGGUACUCUGGAUGUCAUAGGAUUCUUAG